GCCUGAGAAACGGCUACCACAUCCAAGGAAGGCAGCAGGCGCGCAAAUUACCCACUCCCGGCACGGGGAGGUAGUGACGAAAAAUAACGAUACGGGACUCAUCCGAGGCCCCGUAAUCGGAAUGAGAACAAUUUAAAUCCUUUAACGAGGAUCAAUUGGAGGGCAAGUCUGGUGCCAGCAGCCGCGGUAAUUCCAGCUCCAAUAGCGUAUAUUAAAGUUGUUGCGGUUAAAAAGCUCGUAGUCGAAUCUGUGUCCCGCGCCGCCGGUUCGUCGCUCGCGGCGUUUAACUGGCGUGUCCGCGGGACGUCCUGCCGGUGGGCUUAGCCUUUUCAUUAAGGCGGCCCAAUCUUAAUCCCGCCGCGGUGCUCUUCACCGAGUGUCGAGGCGGGCCGGCACGUUUACUUUGAACAAAUUAGAGUGCUUAAAGCAGGCUAAAACUUCGCCUGAAUACUUCGUGCAUGGAAUAAUGGAAUAGGACCUCGGUUCUAUUUUGUUGGUUUUCGGAACCCCGAGGUAAUGAUUAAUAGGAACGGAUGGGGGCAUUCGUAUUGCGACGUUAGAGGUGAAAUUCUUGGAUCGUCGCAAGACGGACAGAAGCGAAAGCAUUUGCCAAAAACGUUUUCAUCGAUCAAGAACGAAAGUUAGAGGUUCGAAGGCGAUCAGAUACCGCCCUAGUUCUAACCAUAAACNAUGCCAGCUAGCGAUCCGCCGANGUUNCUNCNAUGACUCGGCGGGCAGCUUCCGGGAAACCAAAGCUUUUGGGUUCCGGGGGAAGUAUGGUUGCAAAGCUGAAACUUAAAGGAAUUGACGGAAGGGCACCACCAGGAGUGGAGCCUGCGGCUUAAUUUGACUCAACACGGGAAACCUCACCAGGCCCGGACACCGGAAGGAUUGACAGAUUGAGAGCUCUUUCUUGAUUCGGUGGGUGGUGGUGCAUGGCCGUUCUUAGUUGGUGGAGCGAUUUGUCUGGUUAAUUCCGAUAACGAACGAGACUCA
rnacentral:rRNA from 1 species